UAAUGAAUGGCUCAAACAAAUAGGAGAUGAGAAUAUAAUUGAUCCUUUCUAGAAUAGAAUAUAAAGAGAAGCUUGCCUUGAUAAAGCACAGCCUUUCGCACUCCAAUAGGCAUAUAUUGUUACAAGGUUAUGCCCAAAGGUCUCAAAAACGCCGGUGCUACAUAUCAACGCGCCAUGACUAAGAUCUUCGAUGAGAUAAUACAUAAGAUUGUCGAGUGCUAUGUAGAUGAUCUCGUUGUAAAGGCGGUAUCCUAUGAAGAACAUCUUCAACAUCUCAGAAUCGUAUUCGACCGCCUAAGGCAACAUGCACUCAAGUUAAACCCGUUGAAGUGCGCCUUCAUGGUCUCGUCAGGCAAAUUCCUAGGGUUUGUCAUUCGACAUCGGGGAAUAGAAAUCGACCCGAGUAAAAUCAAGGCCAUACUCGAAAUGCCUCCUCCUCAAAACCUUAAGGAGCUGCGUUCGCUUCAAGGGCGCCUGGCAUACAUCAGGCGAUUCAUAGCCAAUUUUGCAGGAAGAAUCCAACUCGAAUUAAGAUACCAACCAAGACUUCCCAUUCGCCGGGCGAGAUGAUCGGAUUUCGUUCCCCAUUUUCGAUAAGGUAUUAGUUUAGGUCUCUGCUGAGCCACUGAGCUAGAAGUGGCUAUAGUUAUGGGUCUCGUCUCAAUGAAGCCAUCUUCUCCCCGAAAACUCUCUAUUUAGGAUCAAUGCCAUGUCCGAGUCAGUGUGGUUCCCCCGGCGCUGCUGUACUGACCAAGAGGUCUGAUUCAGUUGAAACACCCGAGUUAGCUAUUGAUAAAGGUCGCUCAUUGAAAGGUCCAAAGAUACAAAUAAAUUAAGAUGUAGCUUUCUUAGUUUCAUACUUAUAGUAGGCGAUCCCUUGUUUUUUUGACCCGGUAGAGCAAUCCGAAUUAGAUUUGAUAUAGGGAUCGUUCGUUUCUUCUCCACUUUACCCCGAUGUUUUAUGAGAAAUCAUUAUUUGUUUUUGUAUCACGCUGUUAUCUUUUUCGUUUCUCGAAAUAUCGAGUGAGAAUCUCAUUCAGCUUUUGAGGAUCCUCCAAAUUGUACUUAAGAUCAAUAAGGUCCCUAAGUGAUGUGGCGUCCUUUCCCUCGCAUUUCAUGAUUUGGUUGAUCCUAUCGGAAAAAGCACGGUGGAAGGCAUCUGCCCCCAGAGCCCUCAUGGGGGCACUUUGCUUAAAGUGUCUGAGUAGCCUUGAACCGAAAAUUUCAUUUUUAUCUAUUUGUUCGAUAACCGCCUUUCGAGCGUCAUCGUCGGAUGAUGGAUACUUCUGUCGUACUUCUUCAUAGGUAUUUUCCCUUUUUAUGGUUUCCAAAAGGUUCACCCCGAAAUCUUGGUCCCGCUUUGCAUCUAUUUCAGCUAGGGAACAAGACUGGCUUUUGGAAGGUUUCCCUCCAUCUGCCGGAUCCAAGAGAGGGCCUGUGGUUGGGGUGGCGCCGCUCUCCUCCGGGCUGAAGGGAAUUUCUAUUAGGUCGUCCCGGGUACGCACUGAACUAAAGAAAAUUGGUUCUAUUAUCACAAAGCCGCUCCCAAAUUGGCCUGGUUCCAAGAUGUAGAAUCCAUGUUGAAUCACCACUUAGCGGGAUUAUUAGGACUUGGGUCUCUUUCUUGGGCGGGACACCAAAUUCAUGUAUCUUUACCAAUUAACCAAUUUCUUGACGCUGGGGUGGAUCCUAAAGAGAUACCACUUCCUCAUGAAUUUAUCUUGAAUCGGGACCUUUUGGCUCAACUUUAUCCUAGUUUUGCCGAAGGAGCAACCCCUUUUUAUCACUUUAAAUUGGUCCAAAUACGCAGAAUUUCUGACUUUUCGCGGAGGACUAGAUCCAGUAACCGGUGGUCUCUGGCUGACCGAUAUUGCGCACCAUCAUUUAGCUAUUGCUAUUCUUUUCCUAAUCGCAGGUCAUAUGUAUAGGACCAACUGGGGUAUUGGCCAUGGACUUAAAGAUAUUUUGGAGGCUCACAAGGGCCCAUUUACAGGACAAGGCCAUAAGGGUCUUUAUGAAAUCUUAACAACGUCAUGCCAUGCUCAAUUAUCUCUUAACCUAGCUAUGCUAGGCUCUACAACCAUUGUUGUAGCUCAUCAUAUGUAUUCUAUGCCUCCCUAUCCAUACCUAGCUACUGACUAUGGUACACAACUUUCCUUGUUCACACACCACAUGUGGAUUGGCGGAUUUCUAAUAGUCGGUGCUGCUGCACAUGCAGCAAUUUUUAUGGUAAGAGACUAUGAUCCAACUACUCGAUACAACGAUCUAUUAGAUCGCGUCCUUAGACACCGCGAUGCAAUCAUAUCCCACCUUAACUGGGUAUGUAUAUUUCUAGGUUUUUACAGUUUUGGCUUGUACAUUCAUAAUGAUACCAUGAGUGCUUUAGGCCGUCCACAAGAUAUGUUUUCGGAUACCGCCAUACAAUUACAACCUAUCUUUGCUCAAUGGGUACAAAAUAUCCAUGCUACUGCGCCUGGCGUAACAGCUCCUGGUGCAACAACAAGUACUAGCUUAACGUGGGGAGGCGGCGAGUUAGUAGCAGUAGGUGGCAAAGUGGCUUUGUUACCUAUUCCAUUAGGAACCGCGGAUUUUUUAGUCCAUCACAUUCAUGCAUUUACCAUACAUGUGACUGUAUUAAUACUUUUGAAAGGUGUUUUAUUUGCUCGGAGUUCCCGUUUGAUACCCGAUAAAGCAAAUCUAGGUUUUCGCUUUCCUUGCGAUGGGCCUGGCCGAGGGGGAACAUGUCAAGUAUCUGCCUGGGAUCAUGUUUUCUUAGGUUUAUUCUGGAUGUACAAUGCAAUUUCGGUAGUCAUUUUCCAUUUCAGUUGGAAAAUGCAGUCGGAUGUUUGGGGUACCAUAAGUGAUCAAGGGGUGGUAACUCAUAUUACAGGGGGAAACUUUGCACAGAGUUCCAUUACGAUUAAUGGGUGGCUUCGAGAUUUCUUGUGGGCACAGGCAUCGCAAGUCAUUCAGUCUUAUGGUUCUUCAUUAUCUGCAUAUGGUAUUUUUUUCUUAGGUGCUCAUUUUGUCUGGGCCUUCAGUUUAAUGUUUUUAUUCAGCGGCCGUGGUUAUUGGCAAGAACUCAUUGAAUCUAUCGUUUGGGCUCAUAACAAAUUCAAAGUUGCUCCUGCUACUCAGCCUAGAGCCUUGAGCAUUAUACAAGGACGUGCUGUAGGAGUAACCCAUUACCUUCUGGGUGGAAUUGCCACGACAUGGGCAUUCUUCUUAGCGAGAAUUAUUGCAGUAGGAUAGUGGCUAGGAGGAUUUGAAAGGCAUUAUGGAAUUAAGAUUUCCCAGGUUUAGCCAAGGCUUAGCUCAGGACCCCACUACUCGUCGUAUUUGGUUUGGUAUUGCUACCGCACAUGAUUUCGAAAGUCAUGAUGAUAUUACUGAAGAACGUCUUUAUCAGAACAUUUUUGCUUCUCACUUUGGGCAAUUAGCAAUAAUCUUUCUAUGGACGUCCGGAAAUCUGUUUCAUGUAGCUUGGCAAGGAAAUUUGGAAUCAUGGAUACAGGAUCCUUUACACGUAAGACCUAUUGCUCAUGCGAUUUGGGAUCUCAUUUUGGUCAACCCGCUGUGGAAGCCUUUACUCGAGGAGGUGCUGCUGGUCCAGUGAAUAUUGCUUAUUCUGGAGUUUAUCAGUGGUGGUAUACAAUAGGAUUACGCACCAAUGAAGAUCUUUAUACUGGAGCUCUUUUUCUAUUAUUUCUUUCUACGCUGUCCUUAAUAGCGGGUUGGUUACAUCUACAACCCAAAUGGAAACCAAGCCUUUCGUGGUUCAAAAACGCGGAAUCUCGUCUCAAUCAUCAUUUGUCAGGACUUUUCGGGGUAAGUUCUUUGGCUUGGACAGGACAUUUAGUUCAUGUUGCUAUUCCCGCAUCCAGGGGGGAGUACGUUCGAUGGAAUAAUUUAUUAGAUGUAUUACCCUAUCCCCAGGGGUUGGGACCCCUUUUGACGGGUCAGUGGAAUCUUUAUGCCCAAAACCCUGAUUCGAGUAAUCAUUUAUUUGGUACCGCUCAAGGAGCGGGAACUGCCAUUCUAACUCUUCUUGGGGGAUUCCAUCCACAAACACAAAGUUUGUGGCUGACUGAUAUGGCUCACCAUCAUUUAGCUAUUGCAUUUAUUUUUCUCAUUGCCGGUCACAUGUAUCGAACUAACUUCGGAAUUGGGCACAGUAUUAAAGAUCUUUUAGAAGCGCAUACUUCUCCGGGGGGUCGAUUAGGGCGUGGGCAUAAGGGCCUUUAUGACACAAUCAACAAUUCGAUUCAUUUUCAGUUAGGUCUUGCUCUAGCUUCUUUAGGGGUUAUUACUUCCUUAGUAGCUCAACAUAUGUACUCUUUACCUCCUUAUGCAUUCAUAGCACAAGACUUUACUACUCAAGCUGCUUUAUAUACUCAUCACCAAUAUAUUGCGGGGUUCAUCAUGACAGGGGCUUUUGCUCAUGGAGCAAUUUUUUCCAUUAGGGAUUACAAUCCGGAACAGAAUGAGGAUAAUGUAUUGGCAAGAAUGUUAGACCAUAAAGAAGCUAUCAUAUCUCAUUUAAGUUGGGCUAGCCUCUUUCUAGGAUUCCAUACCUUGGGCCUUUAUGUUCAUAACGACGUCAUGCUUGCUUUUGGUACUCCAGAAAAGCAAAUCUUGAUCGAACCUAUAUUUGCCCAAUGGAUACAAUCUGCUCAUGGCAAGACGACAUAUGGGUUCGAUAUACUCUUAUCUUCAACGAAUGGCCCCACUUUCAAUGCGGGUCGAAGCCUAUGGUUGCCCGGAUGGUUGAAUGCUGUUAAUGAGAAUAGUAGUUCGCUUUUCUUAACAAUAUGACCAGGGGAUUUCUUGGUUCAUCAUGCUAUUGCUCUAGGUUUGCAUACAACUACAUUGAUUUUAGUAAAGGGCGCUUUAGAUGCACGCGGUUCCAAAUUAAUGCCGGAUAAAAAGGAUUUUGGGUAUAGUUUUCCUUGUGACGGCCCAGGGCGCGGCGGUACUUGUGAUAUUUCUGCUUGGGACGCAUUUUAUUUGGCAGUUUUCUGGAUGUUAAAUACCAUUGGGUGGGUUACUUUUUAUUGGCAUUGGAAACAUAUCACAUUAUGGCAGGGCAACGUUUCACAAUUUAAUGAAUCCUCCACUUAUUUGAUGGGAUGGUUAAGAGAUUACCUAUGGUUAAACUCUUCACAACUUAUCAAUGGAUAUAAUCCUUUUGGGAUGAAUAGUUUAUCGGUAUGGGCGUGGAUGUUCUUAUUUGGACAUCUUGUUUGGGCUACUGGAUUUAUGUUCUUAAUUUCCUGGCGGGGGUAUUGGCAGGAAUUAAUUGAGACUUUAGCAUGGGCUCAUGAACGCACACCUUUAGCUAAUUUAAUUCGCUGGAGAGAUAAGCCCGUGGCUCUUUCCAUUGUGCAAGCAAGAUUGGUUGGAUUAGCUCACUUUUCCUUGGGUUAUAUAUUCACUUAUGCAGCUUUCUUGAUUGCCUCAACAUCAGGCAAGUUUGGUUAAUUUAGUUUGUUUUUUUGUACUGUAUCAGCACCUAGUUCAUUACUCUUGAUAGAGAGGGAGGAUCCGCCUUCUUAGAUUUCUUUUUCUAUUUAUUUUUCCAUCUAGGAUUAGAACCGUAUACUUGGUAAUAAUAGCAACGGCACAUUAUGGCAAAAAAAAGUUUGAUUCAGAGGGAGAAGAAGCGGCAGAAAUUAGAACAGAUUCCAAGUAGGUUCGAAUCCUGCCAGUUCGCUAAGUAGACUCACUCUACCGAGGGGCAACUAAGGUUGGUUCCUGCCAAUUCCCUUGCUGAUCAGCCUUGGAAUUGGCAAGUAUGAGAGAGUCCUCUCUCUGUCUCUCCGAGUUUCAACUACUAAGUGAAGUUAAGUAGCACUUCAGCUAUUCUAAAUGUGAAUAGAUUCUGAUCAAGCAAGCAGGAGAAGGUGGUCCUUUCAUCUCUCUGUCUGCUCCAUGCUCUAUAGCCUAAGGAUCAUGAGCAGGUUUAAUGCUAGAAAAAACGAGAUCUUCCUAAUCAUUUCGGUAGAUGAAGUAGUGGGAGGUCACGAAGGAAGUAAGGGGGCAUGUUAAGUUGAUAAUUUCGAACAUUGUAGCAUCCUUUUGACGGUUGGGCUUUGAGUUGAUAACUUUUAAGAACUCUUAAUAUGAAAAUACACAUUCUAAAAUGACGCAUCGAGCGAGACCAUUCUGUUUCAUUGUGAAUGAAAGACGUUUUCGACCAACAACAUCUACUCAUAUCCAGCUUCGUGUCAUUUUUGAACACUGCGAUCAGCAAGCAGCAAGCGGGGGAGAGUCAAGUCAAGUACAACACAGGACUGACGGGGUGGGGCGCGCCAAAGCAACCCGGGACCCCUCCGGGGUCACUACAAAAGCGCUGGCGCCUUCUUUUGAAGGUGAAAAACUACGCUAGCUAAGAAAAAGAAAAGGGCUGCGCUAAUGGCAAGGAGCAAGAAAAGGGCAGCUAGCUCGAAAUCCGAUAAAUCGAAUACCUCCUGGCUUCAGUUAUGAGAGAGAACUCCAAGGCAGGAUAAAGACUGAGUUGGAUUCAGCCGCGUGGGGAAUGAAACAACAUUCAUGGAAUGAGUUGAGGCAAAACCUCCAGCUCUUUUUGAGAGUCAGGGGCUUUAAAAGCGCUUUAAAAAGGGCUGUCUGCAUUACUGGAUUCACUAUAUCAAAUUGUAGUAAAAACAAGGGGCCACGUAGACUAUUCUGAGGUGGUAUGCUAAAUCCAUGAUCAACUGAUGUAGCUAGUGUGACUAAAGCAGCAGCUAUUGGCUUAACUGGUUCUAAACUCUCCCACCCGAUAAAGGAAUUGAAAGACUACCCCGGGCCACGUAGACUAUUCCCUUCCGCGGACAUUCUUUUCUAGAAGGAAAGUAGCAAAGCCGAACGCAAAUACACAUGCAAAUUGCGUCGACUACCUCAUCACUGUCCAAAAUGGGGGAUACCGCUAUUCAUACAUGGAUGGACGAGGGACUCCGCUGACAACAUCAGUAGAUGACUUUUCUCGCGGAAUGCUAUUAACGUUGGAAAAAAACACUGCUCUCAAACUCACCCUCCGGGUGAUAGGUAGAAGCAUUAGUACCUAACGGAGCGGUAUCUAACCAAAAAGGGAGGUGAUGUUCUUUUUAUAAACAGGAUGGAGCAUGGCUUCCUUUCUUCUUAGAUACAUUUCAUUCAUUCCAUUUCUCUAUAGUUUACACCUGAACAUCUUGCUAAUCCUGACAGAUCUCGAAAAGGAUGGGGGCACUAGAACCAAAUCUACAUACACAUCGAAACUUCCUAUCUCAGCCAAGCUAGCACCUUCAUCCCACCAAUGCAUUGUACGACUCUCCACCCCCUUUUCCUCCCUCAUGAAAUCCUAAUUUCCCGCAAUGAAAUUCGAUUUCGUUCAUGUCGGCGGUUGGCAAAACGGCCCUGAGAUCCGGGACUGGUAAAACAUGGGUGCCCAAUUUGCUUUUCCGUGCUCCGCCUUAGUGCCCUUAUGAAGGCGGCGGGGAGUCCUUAGCCUUUGAACCAAACUCUAGGGAACGCUCAAUUGCCUGACGUCUCAACUGCAAUGGUGAACUCAGUGACAUACACUGAAAUGGAUUGCAUCUAUUGUUCCAAACAAGGCUGAUAUUAGCAUAAAAGCCCUUCCAUGCAAUUUCUUGCUUCGCUCUACAGACGAAAGUGCCGGAUAGUCAAUGGUAACCAGAAGAUCUAUGGUUUUCGAGAGAAGGUAAUUGGAAAAACGAUUCAUUCCUUUGCUUUCUUUCAGAUAUCUAUUCAAUAAGAUGAUCUGACCUUACCUGAAAACUAGAUUCAUGAAGAAGCCCAAAAAGUGCCGGGCUUAGUGCAGCCCAGUUCCUAGCCAGUGUGGGGUUCUGCUAUGGAUAUUCGGUCCACUCCAGAAUUCCAUUCAUUUUUCAAACGUAACUCGAUUGACUCAAUUCACAAACGGCAAGGAAGUCAAAAGUGACGCUUACAGGUCGUACGACAAUUGCUUCUCUUCCGGGACUACAUACAUCUUUUCUUUAACAACUACCAUACAAGCUAUUCGCUUAAUACAUGCUAGUAGGUAGGCUGGUGGUGGAGUAUUUAUUUUCGUCUUUUUUUGGUCUGUCUGUAUUUCGGUUUUGGGAUGGUGCGAAUCCAUCUAUCCACCAUUCUUUUAUCUUUCAGUAGUGUCAACCUCAGUUCUGGUUCUUUAUCUUGGAAUACUCUCCGUUGUCCUGGAAGCAAUGCUUGAAAGAAAGCGUAAGGAAGCGUCAAAUCAGUAUGAUGUAUUGGCAAAGCCAGUAAGAAGGGAAUCGAAAGUAGAUAGGGACUCCCACUGUAGAUGUGGUUUUAUACCUUGAUGAAUUGGUACCUUAUAGCAUAGCGAAUUGACUUUUCUUUCAAAAGGAUAUAUCAACCUGUAGUGAAACCGGGCCACCGAGCUUGCUUUUACCGCUCUUACAGCUCUCUCUCUUCUUUUUUAUGGGUAGUUUGGCCAGGAAAGAGAAAGAGGAAUGUACCCAUUUCUAUUUAUCCAUUCUCAUAGAAAGUACCAAAAAUGUUUUUGAAUGUAUGGAGCAGGCGUAUGAGUUGAUAUCUUCAAGAGUAAAAUCCUUUUCUUGCCCACCCAGCCAUAAAAGACAAAAAUCGUUACGAGCGGUCUUAAACCCUCACCUCAAUCUCAAAAAUGGAAUUGAAAAGCUCCAAUUUAAAUAAUGGUACCGGGGAAAUACCCAGGGAAGAAUCAUUCUUUGAAUCAUCCAGAUCUAUCAAUUUGCGAAUUCAAUAAAAAACGGACUGAUCCUCGGAAUACACCAUCAUCUUUCGAAGUGCGCAGUCAAUAUUAUGUUAUAUUCAAAGAAACAAGUCAAAGAGUAAAGGCUUCGCCCUUCAAUACCACACUUCCAAUCGAAAUUCCUACGAGAUUGACGUUCGAAGAAAAAGACAUGGUUUGAUAGAAACUUUAAGUGGGUAUCAAAUAAACUGGAAUGAAUGGUAUCAAUUUCUUCUUUUCUAUACUGAAUCUGCUUCGGUAUCUCUUUCUUCCUUCCCUUCUGUAAACCAAGCAGUGACUAGCCUCUGGCACUCACUUUCCAAAGCACCAAUUGACUUGCUUUCAGAACAACCCUGAUCAGUUAUACCUGAAAUACCACCCGUACGUAGUACGCCAUUUCCAACGCGGAGCGCCUUUAUUUUCGUAUUGAACUCCCCUAGGAAGAAAAAGUUAGACCGUAGCCUUGUCGAACAACCUCGUUUCUCGCUUUUGUCGAUUGACUCGUGGGACUCUACUGAGUCCCAGCAUGGGUGUGGUAGAUUACUGACGUGAAGCCGGACCUCUAUGAGUGCUCUACAUGGCCGGAUCAAAGCUAUUCUAAAAACUAGAUCCAUUGGAGUGGGAAGUACUCAAGAUGUAGAAGAGGACUCAAGCAGGUUUGGUCCUCUUUCUCUGAUGUGUUCUUAGAACCCACUACCCUCCCUCCUAAAAGACCAUGUGACCAUCGGAUUCACCUCACGAUAGUCAACCAGUGAAUCAAAGGCCUUAUAGGUAUUCACACCACCGGAUGAAAUUGAAGCCAUAAUCAAGGAGUUACUCUAGAAUGGUACUCUACAACCUAGUUCAUGCCUCACCGGCUCUUCUUUACAAGAAGAAAGAAGGUUCGUGGCGCCUAUGGAUUAUAGGCAACUCAAUGCGCAAACCGUAAAAAAGAAAUACCCGAUACCGGUCAUUGAUGAUCUUCUGGAUGAGCUACACGGUUAUACUGUGUACUCAACAAUCGUUUUAUCUAUUCCCACAUCGAUUCACCAAUCCUGGAACUCGUUAUGGAUAGAAGGUCCGUAGAAGUGAAAGUAGGACGACGGGAGAAAAGAGUAAGGAGUACCGGAAAAAGAAGAUUUUGGACUUUCUGCCCACGAAGAAAUAGUAGCAUUUGAAACUGGAAAGAUUUACUUUGGAUAGUAAAUCCCCAAGGAAGGGCUAUAAUCCAAACAAAGGAGGAGCUAGCGGACAGUUCGAAUUUCAACGAUUAGGGAGGGGAAUGAAACACUUGUCUUUCACAAUCAAUUCUUUCUUUUUUUAUGUUUAGGACACGCGAAGCGAGAGCGAAACUCGCUAUGAGGAGAAGACUCGGCAAGAGAGGUUUGAACAAGAGGAACUGCCGUCUAGUUGAGUUUGAUCAUUCUCUCUUUCUUUCAAGAGCUGAAUAAGGGCAUAUCCGCAAAGGAGAGAGAAAUCGGACUUUCUUCUUUACCCCCCUCAUUAUUCAAGACGUGAAUAUAAAGUGUAUUGUACUCCCUUGGAUCUUUUCCGGGAUCUUUACUCGUCGUUGAUCAAGGAAGCUAGAAGGAAGAUGGGUGGUAGGGUGAAUGGACAUUCGUAUCCUCUCCGACUCGUCGGUUAGGAGAGUAGCGACCAAAAAGAAAUCAUUAUACAGGAUAACUGCUGUAUAGAUAAAAUGUAGGAAGGAGAAAGUUGGUUUCAAUGAGUCAUGUGAAUUGUAGAAGAAAUAGAUAAACAAGGCGGGUUAAUAUAUAUACGUUGAAAAGCAAGGGGAUAAAUUGAACGAAAUGAAGAGCAAUCCAGAAUCCGAUUUUGUAUACUAUAAGAAAAAGGCACUGAAAACUUGGAAACGGAAGAUGUUGUAACAGAUAUGGGUAGUCACACAUUAGGCAAAAUGGUGUAGUGGUUGGGCCAGGUAGCUUCUUCUUUUGAACAGCAUUUCAUUCUGUUUUGGAUGCUUUCUACUAUGUUUCAAGUGAUCAAAGAAGAGUUUAUUUCCCACUACUCAUAUCACAUCUUAUGUGUUGAUGCAAGCUGACUAAAUCAAUAAGAUGGUAUUCGUAUUUGAUUAGACAAGAUGGUAUUCUUCUUUAUUCCGGAGCACAACAAUCCGGAUCUCUAUCUUAUAGCUUAUCCUUCCUAUUCUGUAUGUAUUACGGUCAUGUCAAGUCAAUGGUCUGUCUGCCCUGCAACCGGUCUUGAAUGGCUUCAGUGAAUUGUUUGCUGAGCCUACAGAGUGACCUCCUAGGAGGACAAUAGACCACAAAAUACCCUUACUACCAGGCACUAAACCUGUCAAUCAUUAGAGAAGGGACAGAGUUCAAGAUAAGACUAUCUUGCCUGUUUGGUAGAGAGAGUACCGGGUAUUCCGAUGGUUAAAGAUUCAAGUCUUAGUGGCAAAGGGGGACAGCUUUGGCCUGCAACCGUUUCCACUUUACGGCCCACAGCUUGUGUUCUUCGGUAUUAAUUCAGUUUCUGUUUGUUUGGCUUGUCUCGUGCACCACCUGAAUUGAAUCAUAGUAAUGGGACUUUGGUAAUCCAGUGAUGAAGUCAAUGCUGAUAAUGGACCAUGCUUCAUCAGGAAUGGGUAGAGGAUCGAAGAGGCCAGGGAGUUUUUAAUGUUCUACCUUAGCUUGCUGACAGAUUUUACACUUGUUGACAAAAGAUUCCACUGAUUGAAAGAUUCCUGUCCAAGCAAAUAGUGCCUUGAUGCGGUGAUAAGUAGCACUAAUGCCAGAGUGGGCACCAAUACCACUGGCAUGAAGUGCUUGCAAGAUGUUUUUUUUCAUUUAGAAGUUUGCACCAACCCAUACUCUUCCUCUAUAUCGAAUGACCCCAUUAUGCAAUGAAUAUUUGCUAUUCUUGUGAGUGCUCAGGACUGCCAAUUCAGAUAGUAAAUUCUGGGUGAAUGUGUCUUUGUUGUACCCUGCAACAAUAUCAGUGAGCCAUUGUGGUUGACAGGAAGUAAUGGCAUUGAGUUCAUCUGGCUCAUGUAAUCUAGAUAGUGGUGCAUCAGCUGCCCUAUUCUCUGAGCCUUUUAUUGGAUGGUAUAUUGUAAUCCCAUGAGCUUGAGGAAAGGAAAGCUUUGUGCUGUGCUGCAUUGGUGUUUUAAGUCUUUGAGCAGUCAAAUGAGCUAAGCUCCUGUGAAUGAAACGCCUGUCCUGCUAAGCCCAAACUCUAAUGUGCUUUACUUGGAAGUAGGCCACUCUUUCAGUGUGAGGAUCUUCUUUUAGUCUGUAGCCACCCCUUGCCCACUAAUGACAUGACCCAGGUAUUCUAUCUGUGGUUGAGCAAAUGAACAUUUAUUCAACUUCACAUAUAGUUGAUUCUGCUUCGGAAGGUCAAAUACUUGCUGCAAAUGGGUGACAUGAUCUUGCAAGGAUUUGCUGUAGAUUAAGAUGUCAUCAACAAAAACAAGUACACAAACCCUAGUCAGCUCAGCCAGAAUUGUGUUCAUAGCACUCUGGAGGGUGGGUGGUGCAUUUGUGAGCCCAAAUAGCCUAAAAUUCAUAGUGACGUGGGUCUUGAAUGCCGUUUUGUAUUCGUCUGCUUCAUGUAAUCUUAUCUGAUGGUAACCAGCUCUCAGAUCCAGCUUAGUAAACCAAACAGCACAAGAUAACUCAUCCAACAAUUCUUCAACUACAGGCAUUGGGUAUUUUAUUAGACGAAUCCAUCUUAUUUCCUUAUUUCUCUGUUUUGGUAGCAGGAGAAGUAGUUUGUUCAGCCCGGACUUCAAAGUAGUCUCCCCCGUUGACCUUCUUUUUUAGAUAGAAUCCUCAAUGAGUGGAAAGGACUCCCAAACUUGCUCCACAGUACUAUACCAUACAGAGCCGCGCCCUUGUGAUAUGAUAAGAAGAAAAGGGGCCAGGCCGCCCUCUUUUCUUUUCCGCACCAAGCCUUCUUGUAAAAUCGGGUGUAUAGCUCAGUUGGUAGAGAAUUGGGCUUUUAACCUAAUGGUCGCAGGUUCAAGUCCUGCUAUACCCAAAACAAAAAAAACCACUCUUGUAUUCGUAAGGAUGCAUAGUAGCCUUCAAAGAGCACUCUUUGGCCUUGAGAAAAGCCCCUUUCUCGUCAACAUCUCGACUUCGCUCGUUGUUUGAGGUAAGUAUAAAGGAGAUCAGACUGGCUCGGUCAUUGAUAGGCCGGCCUUCUCCUUAUUCAUUGGAUAGGGCGCGGGGGAAAGUCAAGUCAAGCACUAGUUAGUUGGGGUGGGACGCACCAAAGCAGCGUUCGUUGCACUAGCGCCUUAUCUUUUGAAGCUAAACAGAGGCUCGAAAGACGGAGUACGUCCGAAGUCGUUGGCUGCCUUUUUGUAGUGCGCAAGUCAGAGUGAACUUCUUCUUCUGUUCUGCGAAUCUACUAACGAGAACUGCCGUACAGUCCUAUCUUUUUUUAAGAAAGAUCGUAGAUGAACGUUUCGUUUCGUUACCUAAGUAGUUGAGCAAUUCAUUCCAAGGUAAACAAAGAGGUAUUUCCUUUUCUCGUUCAGUCCUUCUCUCCUUCCAUCCCAGUAGGCCUAUUCAUGCUUUUUUGCUAUCCAUCUUGAUCAAAUAGAAGAAGGGGAAAUUCAGACUAGGCAAAACACCUCCAAAAGUGAAAAAAAGAUAAAACAACUUUCUUAUUGUCAAGUAGUAAACCAGAGUUCUCAUCCUAGGAAACCAUAUCGAUCAUCGGUUCAGAGCUCCCAACUACGAAGCUCUUUUCUAGAGCGAGUCAACAAUUCGUGGAUCCAUGGUUUGGAUGAAGCUAUGUACCCGGGUAGAGAUGAUUUGUCUCAAAGAUGUUCCGCUCAUCCAAGAAUCUUAAACUUCAUCUACAUAAACUCAUAAAUAGCCCUUUCCUUUCUUUUCUUGACUUAAAAAGGUAAUCAAUCCUUUCUUUUCAUCUUUUAUCAAGUCUUCCUCUUCCUGAUUGAGUCAAUCAGGGAUAGAAAUUCGGAUCAACUAUGAGGAGUAGGGCUGCUGGGCAAGUGAAUGAACUCUGUCCUAGGCAUUUCCAAUAAGUUCAGUGAAGUGAGGGCGAAGCCUUUUUUGAGAGGGAAAAUACACUCCAAAUGAUAUUCCAUAAUGGAAGGAAUGAGUGGAAGAUUUACUGGAAGAAAAAAAUACGAUACUUUUCUAGUCGUAGGUAGGGCUACCUAUCUAGUUUCGUGCUUCGGGCGUACCAGAUUCAAUAGGCUAGGUUAUAGCUGACAGAUUUCUUUAAGAACUAGCCGCCUAUAAGCCUCGCUAGUAGUAUUCCUGCCCAGUGCCGGAGUAGUGACUCACAAGGUAAGUUCUCCUCGAUGCAUUUCCAACACUCUCUUUUUCUACGUACACUUUGGAUUCCUCAGUAGGUAGGGACAACGUUCGAGAUCUCAUCCGACCGUCUAUUUCUCACUGAUUGGGAGAUUGGAUUGGAAUCCGAGGAGAACUGAUUGGAUGUCAUGGAACGAAUGGGGCACUACGUUGGUUACCCACUGCUAGCCUAGCGGAGAUUUCUCUAUUUGUUGAAAGUGGAAAGGAGUCAUAUUUGAAUAGGAAAGUUGGGCUCGUUCACUCACACCUUUCUUUGAUUAUCGAUGACUUGGCUUCUUGCUCAAGUAAGCACCCGGCAUACCAAUUCAUUAUCCUUGGGGCUCGGCUCGCUCCUUCCUAUCUACGUUAUUCUUUCUUUGUUACUCUCGUAAUGACGUUCCGAAAGAAAUCAAGGUUACCAGGUCACAGCUCUGAUUCUUCUUCCCUUAUAGAACCUUCCCGCAAGAAAUCAGUGGAAGUGGGUCCGCCCCUACAACUCAUCAAAUCUGCCUUCUUUUCUGUUCUGCGCUGUACAUAUUCUCAAGUUAUGAGAAAGAAUGGAUUUGAAUGAAAUUUUGAAUUAACAAAAUAAACGAAUGAAGAAUAUUUUUACCUCUUAUCUGAUAAGCAAUCAAAGCAUUUGAACUGCUCAAUGAACAAUAAAGAAAGAGCUAAGGUAAAAAAGUAUAUGUGUUACUAAUAGUAAACCAAUUUUAUUUGGAGUUUGCUUUCAGCUGAACAUGUUAUAACUACAAAUGAGGUGAGGCUUGAUUAGGUGGCUUUGCAAGAACUAGGGAGGAACACAAGUUAUGUACUUUAGGCUAAACAUAUGAAUUUAGAAGAUCAACUUUUCCAAUUGGACAUAAACAAAAGCAACCAAUAAUAUAUAUAUAUAAACUUCCAUAAUAUUUUCUCUAUGGUGAAGUAAUUUCAUCGAUAACCACUAAACGAUUAAGUAGCGAUGUAUGCAAAGCUAGACAACGAACAUUUCAUAAUACACUCGUUCUGCAUAUCUUUAGGAUAAAAGAAAAAACUGCGAAAAAAUAAGUUUUCCUAAAUAAAAAGAUCAAGAAAUCUAUUUUUUAUGGUUCUUAUUUCGUUGAAAACGUUUCCAUGAGACUUUCUUUCAUUGAAGAAGUCCAUGACUUGUUCUAGGUGAUAUGAGGUUGAACAGGCUUUAGAAAAAAUGCAAAGAAGGGUACAUGAGGGUGGAAUAAAAAUCAAAAAGAUGACCCCUUCUUUCUUCCUGAGCAUUACUGAUAAAUAUUCAUUCUUUAUACGUUAGGUUGGGUUUCAGAUGUAUAUCAUUUAUUAUAUGAAACCAAAAAGAAGAAAUGACAAGAAAGUUGUAUAUAGAUGGAGGAAUAAAUUAUGAUGUGGAAAACAAGGCUGGGGUUCAAAUCCUGUCAUCCCUACCUAUUACUUCUCCUAUGGGCAGUAACGAGGGAUCAAUUGAGAUCGAUUCAAAUUGGACAAAAUUCAGAGUUUCAUUUUUCUAUAUGCAUGCGGUACAAAAAUCAUCCUUUUCUUUACUGCUUUAUCUCCCGGAAAGCGCUCUUAGUUCAGUUCGGUAGAACGUGUGUCUCCAAAACCCAAUGUCGUAGGUUCAAAUCCUACAGAGCGUGAUUCUGUUCUUGUUAUGUCGAAUCAAAAAAAAAGAACUUAACAAAGUGGAAUGUACGACUACUGUUCUUAACCCAAAUCAAAGAAAACAACAGAAAUACUCGACCUGGAGAGGAGACCACUGACCAAUCUCCGUCCAUUUUCCCUUGCCUUUCCUUUACGGGUAUGCCUGUUUUAGGGGACCUUAUAGUAAUAAUAGUCUAAUAGACCAACUAGAAGAGGAGAGGAAUCCUUCAUGAAUCACCUUGCCUUGCUGAAAGAGGUUUAUUAAAAACCGCCCAUGGAACUCUUGUUUUGAGGAAGCAAUGAACAUUGUCUUUUUCCANNNNNNNNNNCAAGACUUGACCAAAAGCUCCCCACAAUUUCUUGAUUUGAAGCAGUUCGGAGGCCUUCUUCUAGUUACGAUUCGCCCUCGUCUGUCACUAUAGAUGUUCUAGCUUUAGUCUUUAGUGUCAUUUCGAGUUAUGCAUUUGGAAUGCUCCCCUUCCAAGCAAACUAAACUAACCUUGCUAAGUGCUAGCCAGGUGAAAGUGCUUUUCGCUAGUAGUUUUGGUGUUCUCUUCCCUUUAAUCCAAUUGAAUCAAUCGAUCAGAAGAACAAGAACAAGAAGGCACUGUACUUUUAAUAGGCCCUACUUCCGAGACCUCUAUCUCUAUUUAUUUUCAUUCUUCCCUUUGGUCAGAUACUAGAAUAUAGUAUUUUUAUUGGACAUCCUCCUCACUAUUGAAAUUAGGGAAAACCGGAUCAGUAAACUAUUGCAUCUAAGGGAACAGAGCAGCAGAUCCCGGGAUAAGAAAGAUACAGAAAUAUGGAACUUCACUGCCUUACUUGGAAAGCUAAGCAGGUUAUUGACCCACUAAUCUUACCUUCCCUCAAACCUUCCACUGAAAAGAGCAGAUCCCAGAAAAAAGGAUAGCGAAUGAUCGAUUCACCAUUGAUAGCAUUAACCCUAAAAGGAGGGAUGAAGCACAUGCCACCACAUCCACUAAAGAGAAGGAAAAGAGAAAAGAGAGGCGCCAGGUCCAAGAAGGUAUGGAAAAGGCAUUAGAGGUUUGAUUCGCUCAAGGUUUUGAACAACAAGUCAGGUAAACCACCAGUUAAUACCAACCACGGUUGACUUGAUUUUCGAUAGAUUGAAAUGCUUUCAAAUUCAGCAUGGUUGUGAGAUUAAUCGUACCCACCCGGCUAGGUCACCUGCGAGACUCGCUAAUAUACUACUUUCUUUCAGGCAAUGCAAAAAAUAUGGUUUCUAGUACCUCACUAACCACUGCUCGCGAGAAGCAUGGGGGGAGUCUAGAAGCACGGCGGGAGUCUAGAUAGAAGGGUUUUCAAUAAUGGUGGUUCGUUGCCUCACCGUAAUAAGUGCCUUAGUACUUUCGAGUCUAAGGGGCGUGAGUUAGAGGCACAAUAUUCUUUCUAUACAGUCAACUAGCAGCCCUAGCUAAUUGAGCAUCAAUCACUAUUUCUCUAAGUCAUAACUAGUACCUCCCUUGUGGCGAAACCAAUGGUUCACUUGAUUUCUAAAGAACAGCUUUCGUCGUACGGCAGGGCCAAGGAUAUAUAUGCCCUUCUCUUCAUUGCUUUCCUGAAAUGCGUAAGUAAUCACCUUCGAAAUGGUACCAAAAGGCCGGCUCAAAUCGUCUAUUACAGCCUGGUGGAACCUAUUCUUCGACUACUUCUUCCUUCGACUAGCGUGCUUAGAUAAAAUACAACGGUACCUAUAUCGCUCGCUGUUGAAAUUGUAGUUUAGGUGGACUGUAUGUCUUUACAUCUUCUCCGGCCGAUCGGGGUCUCCAAAGUAAGCAAAAAAAGGAGUAUUGACAGCCAUCUUAUGUUGUUUGUCGGGAUUCAUUCUAACCAGAGUGAGCUCACGGACCACCUUCGAACGAAAGUGAACUCUCUUCCUCCGAUCUCUAUAAUGGGUCUAGUAACUGCUUUAGCUGCUCGUCUCACAAUUAAGUUGGUGGGUGCUUGGUCCAUCUUCUUAUUCCAAAGCUCCGAGAUGAAUUCAAUCUUAUCUUACUGGGGCUCUCCCCUUCGGUUUGAAGAAGACCGCGCAUGCUUAUUCUCAAACUGGUACACACUUUGGUAUUCUACCCUGCAUCAAAGAAUAGGCCUCAACACUUUGAGUGUGAAAUCCAGCUACUCUGCUAUCGCCUCCUGCGCGAACAGCUUUCGAGUAAGAAAGUUCAAAUGCAUUUUUACACCUAUUGAAGGAAUUGAAUGGAAUAGAAAAAAAAGAGUGGUAUGGAGACUUGAUAUUGUACCAAUACUUUAAAGUAGUACAGAGGAUACUUCAUAUUGUACCAAUACACAUUCAAAUCACUAUCACCAAUUUCUUACAGGAUUCAGACUUUAAUCAAUAAAAGCGCGUACUAUUUAUUACCACCAGGAAUGGAAAAAGAGUACUAUGUGGAUCUGGUGCGACUACAGAAAAUGGAGCAUUGGUACAACUGAUCUUCACAGGAGAGCGGUAUGCUUAAAGCCAAGAGUGCGGCUUAAGCACCACCUUACCUUAAGAGCAGUCAAAGCUAUAAGCUGGUAUAUCACCCUACAACAAUUUUUAAGCUGGUUUGCCUCCACCAUUGGAUUUGGUUGCAGCUCGCACCGACACCUCGCAGUUUGUGUACAAGGUUGGUAGUCACACUGCUUACCUCCUAUUAUAUGUCGAUGACAUCAUCCUUACAGCCUCCAGUGAUGCUUUCCUUCGCCACAUUAUCGGUCUUCUUCAUGAAGCUCGACAAGAACCUAUUUUCUGUUUUCUUCUGUAUCGGGCCAAAGGGCAUGACUCUGACAUGACUCUCAAUGGCGCUAUUCCGUCAUCAGAUAGCUCGGUUGCAGCUCCGGUUCCAGGUUUCGAUUCCAUUCGUUUCAUAAUUUCUUAUAAGUGAUGUUAUGUUACAUUUUGACUGAGGAUUGAAUAAGUUGGGUCAUGAGAAUGGAAGUUGACCCAUGGAACUCUUGUUUUGAGGAAGCAAUGAACAUUGUCUUUUUCCAUUCUCAAUAAAUGAGGAAGGAGGGGUGAGGUCCUCACUUGCGAGUGAGGCAAGGCUUUCUUUUAUAAUACAUCCUACCCGAUUUUGGUUGACGAUUGCGUUCUAUUCCAAUUAUUCACUUGUUUUUCUUGUCACUGUGGCGAGACCAGAUGAGAGAGAGAACUAUUUUCCAUUUCCAGACAGACCCCGAGCCGAGGUUGGAACAAUUCUUUAUUUUCUUGUUGGUUCCUUCUUUAUUAUUUAUUCCAAGUUUUUCUCUUCCAUUCGGUUCAUUAGCUUUAGGAAAAAUAGAAGCUGCGGAAAUGCUCGCUUCUAAAAGGCUUAAAGGCUCUGAUCAAGGCAAUGAACAUUUUGCACUUGGAAACUAAUAAGAAAGGAAUUCAAAUCAUAGUUCAAUACAGACUUUUUCUCUUUUAAGAAGGGUGAAACUUUCCUUCCAAUACUUGUGCGCUCUACCCAUCUCUACUGAACAAACCCACUACACAUCGAGUGGCAGGGUAUGUGAGUAGGCCUUUUCAAGGACAUUCGAAACAACAUGUCGAUAAAUUGCUAUAGAAAGUGGGGCUAGAUCGAGAGUUCUGACCUUUUCAUGGGUUGGGUGAUCUUCAAACUCUUGUUUUUCUAGCGAAAGAACGCCCUUCUGAGCGAUGAUCUCCUACAAGCGAGUAUAGUAAGGUUGACUUCAAUUGAGACAGAAAUGUCACUGGUCAGCUCCUUAGCGUGACAAUUAACACCACUUUCUUAUUACCUAAUAGAUUAGAUAAGGGAAGAAGGCAGGCCAAAGCUUAUAGAUUCGGAGAUCGUACUUCUAACGCUUUGUCUGAGUCAGUCCUACGACCCCUUCCGGCUGAGACACGAAUCCUAGCCUAUCUGAGUCGCGGAAUGAAGGGCUCUUCAGAAGGCGCCACCCAAGUCUCCUUUGAUACUUCGGAGUCAGGAAUUUUUUUUCCAAGGAAGGCGGAUUUUCUGCGUUCCGCAGCACGAACAGGGUGUACAGAAGAUCGAUGUGCCAUCUUUCUAACCACCUUCAUUUGUUGUAUGAUCAGUAGGGAAGGGAGCCUUUGAUAAAGGGACCCCAAACCAAGAAAUCUACUGUCUCAGAGCGACAGUCAAGCUCGUAUCGCGGAACUAGAACAUUUCUUUGAUUGAUAGGUCAGAUAGGAAGCAGGCAAGCAAACCAAGUUAUAGGUUUGGAAGUUAGAACUCGGAAAGGUUGUCCUGUGACUACCUUUGAAGUCUUUGGGUAGGACAUCAGGCUAAGGUCUUAUGAUGAGCCACGCGCAUAUGAGGUUUACUGCAGCCCUAAAGCUCUGUCCCCUAUCCUACCACUAGAUCUCCUAUGCCGGAACAUGAACAGAGAAAGCUGUGAGUGUAGUCUUAGGAACGAACCCGGGGUUGCUCUCGCAAAAAGAUUGUACUAAAGAAAGCUAGAAAGCUCAAUUCCAAGCUUUAAACCUCUGGUCCACGGGUCGGUGAACGAAUGGGUUUUGGGAAAUAGAGAACAUGGACUCGAUUGAACAAAGGUGGCACCGGAAUGAAUAGCCCACUUGUUUCGGGCAAGAAUGAAUGGGACUGAUCGACUCGAGUUACCGAGCGACCUCCACUCUUCGACUCGAGCUUUCGCUUCUGCUUUUCUCUUGUUUUGAUUUAUUAGCUUUUUAGGGAAAGAAGAGGGUCUGAAAUACAACUAUGUCUACGAGUGCCGCGAAUGAACCUUCGGUUCUUCCCAAGAACAAGGAGACACGAACUAAAUAACUCGUAUCAGGCUACGGGAAUAGUGAACGGGAAGAAGGAACUAGUGAGGCUUUCGUUGGUCAAACAAUAUGCCCUCCUCACUUGAGGAGAGUGAAGGUCAUGACUUAUUGAAGCAGAACGUCAAUUGGCCAAGAGAAGGGGAACUCCUUUCGUCGGUAACUAUUGAAUUGCCUAUCUAACAGUGGAGCGAAGCGGAACGUUGAACGGGAAACUCGUGUCGUCGGUUAUCCAAUUUCCCUCCUUUCUGUUUCGACAAAGAAAACGUUUAGGUAUCGGUAAUAGGAUUCCCACUAUGAUUUGAAGAAAAAGAUAGAUUCUACAAUAAUCCAUAAAUAAUAUACAGAAUCAGGCUCCGUAAUCAAGUGCUCGCUGUGAGAAGAAGAUCUACAGGCAUGUACCCAUUUCUCCAUGCAAAAUAAGUUUGAACCCGAGUGAGUAUGGACCAUACGCUCAUCUUUCUUCUCAAUCUACACCUCGUUCCGCGAGAGACCUAUCCUCGUUUCGAAAUAAAGGACCGUAGUGAGGAUCGAUCCCGGAUAAGCGAGUCAGUGUAGGGACAGAGGCUGAUGAUUCUAAAGGUGAUUUCUAACUACAAGAUGACUUUAUUUGAAAACGGAAUCCAAAUAUCAACAAAAAGAUGAAUGGAAAGUCUUGUCGAUAUGAAUUGAUCUUCAACCCAAUGACAAUGCUUCGAUUUCGAUCUUUACUUCUUUCUUGGAUGCCUGAAGUUUGUGUUCGCAUUUCAUCAAAGGAAAAGUGGGCUGUACCCACAUGAAGAAAAGAGUUGCUCGUGUAAAAGCAAUAUCUUCUAUUUGACUUAUCUAGCCGUGUCUUGUCUUGCACAUACUCGGCUCGGUGAAUGGUUCAUCUUCGAUUGGCAUGGUCCUUUGGAUGUAAGAGAUCUCGUUUGCUGGCCGGGCCCUUCCAUGAGUUUAGAUCUCUAUGUAUGAAUCUCUUAUGAAAUCCCAUACUUUUUAUCAUUUCAGAACGAUCAGCAUACUGUGUGACUUCUGCGUGACAGUUCUUGCAUUUCGUUUGUUGCUUUGCAUGAACAUUUAGAUAUUGGAAAGCGAACUCCCUGAAUUAGGAAUUUCAUAGAUAGAGAAGGACGGGCAAAAAGAGAGAGACUGACUAACUACCCGGAUCAAUGCUGAUUGACGACUGAAUAAAUAGCCGGAAGCAACAACUGCACGAGAGAGAAAGAGCGGAUCCAACUAAGGAAAUGCAGUACCUGUUCUGUCGGAGCUAAUCAUGCAAUUCAGUGAUUGUAUCGAACAAAAGCCCCCUCCCGGGGCAGGUACGCGACUGUCUCUCUUCCAAAGUGUGAUCAUCUUCUCCAGUCUCCCGUUUCCACCUAUUUUAAAUGGUCAGCCUGUGCGGCAUCAAUUGAAUUUGAAUUCUAAAAUAAAGUAGACUUCGGUGAAGGAACCUAUUCUCUGGUAUCUGCUUCGGCCAUCUCAUCUGGUUUCGGCCUUCUUUGUGAGCAGCUCCUAACUCGCUCGACAGGGUAUGAUCGCUACUGUUGAUAGGUCGAUCGGAAAAGAAUAAGUUCCAGGACUGAACAGAAAGAAAGUACUCUAACACUUUCUUCGCCAUUCUUUUCUAUGAGGAGCUCUAUUUUGCUAAUACAAAUGUAAUGCUACCUCCCUACGGCGAUUCAUAACUAGAAGAACUCGUUGGCACAACCAGACCUUAUUAAAGGCCUCGGCCGUCUGAUCGACUGAAAGAUCUUAUCUUGGAGUUCUAGUAUGGGUCGUCGGCCCUUUCUCCUCCUCAGUAGGUGCAAACCCAGGUUCUGUAAAUGAUUAUAACUGCCUUGGAGCUAGAUAAGCAAACCUUCUUCUGUUUGAGUAUGAUGGAUGUUACACCCACUGCCAGAUACAAGCAAAAGCUUUCCAGCUAAGCUAGGAGUCAGAACGAACUCAUGAAGCUAUCCUUCUUCUUGGAUCUCAAGAUUCAAAUGGAAUUUUAUCACCCCGGAUUUUGGCUUUAAUUUCCACUUUAUACUUGAGUUAAGCAAGGCACCAGCAUGGGAGAGAAGAUAGCCCCUCGGGAUCGCUUACUAGCCGGCCUGCUUGAUUUAUUUAUGAGGUAUCCAGAUGGCACUGCACCGGCG
rnacentral:lncRNA from 1 species